rnacentral:lncRNA from 1 species
UCGUAAACAUCGCUGCUGUCCUCAGAUCAUUGUCUGAGCAGAAGUUUCAUCAUAAGCCAUGACCGUCAGAUGCUCUUCACCUCAGGAGCUGUAUUUUUAUAUGCUUGAUAACAGAUAUAAGCGAGAAGAGGCUGAAUCCAAAGCCCGAGAAGAAGCAGAGAAACAAAGGAUCGAACGAGAGAAACACUUCCAGAAGGAGGAGCUGGAACGCUUGGAGAGAAAGAAGCGUCUGGAAGAAAUCAUGAAGAGGACUUGACGCAGGAGCACAGAAAGAUGUUAAAACUUGAACUCAAGUGAAUCGCAGAGUCACUGACAGCGAAAAAUCCGUCAGAAGCUCUUCAUACUGGUGCGACAAACUAAUCACCAAUGAGCUCUGUGUCCUGGGACGCAGCACUGGUCAAUAACGGAGCUCCGCCCACUAAGCAUCAGAAUGGACUGUCCUCCAAUGGAGACGCUGCAGACUUUGAGGAGAUAAUCAAGCUGUCCAAUCACAGUGGGAACAGUGGGCAGAGUCAACCGGCUGACGACCCAAUCAUGGCCUUCGAGGGAGGAGAACCGUUCAUGAUGUAGGCGUGGCCUAUGAAACCUCAACAUGUGGCAGAGGUGCUGUGAGAGAUGAGAUAUCAGAGUCUUCUGGAUAUGAAGAGAAGAAGAGAAGCCUUACUCUACCACCGCUUCCACCCUGACGUGUGCCAAACCAACAAAAACAGACUGCUUUAACUUUAGAAACACAGCCGAGCCGGACGCG